rfam:Gossypium raimondii chromosome 12, whole genome shotgun sequence.
AAACCAUGCAUUGAGAAUUUUCUAAUUAACUCAUUGAAUCGCUCUCAUGCUUCAUAUAAUGUUUCACCCUCAGAUUGCUAAAAGGACGUAAUAUCAUUCCUCAAUUU